AGCGCGCUAGUCACUAGAUCACUCACUAUUAAAGGAAGCUGAAACAAGUGGAAACAAAGACUUGAACUGUACACGGGUGUAUUCCUGCCUUAAUGCCCAGUGUUACCGGGAAAGCCUCUGGAUCCACAAUAGCCCUGACCAAGAUAAAGCAGUUACUGAACGUGAGUGAAUGAGUAAAAUGACCAUUUUUUUUCUCUCUUCAUAACUUUUUUGUGCAUUACACCCAAAUAUGUAAGGUCAUGAAAUACAAGUACCCACAGUCAGCAAACAAUUUUAUGUUGUUUAUGAAUGAUCAGCCUAAAAGGCAUGAUACUUUCAAUUUUAUUUACUUUUUUACUCACCAUUUAUCAAGUGCCACUACAUAUGGACAAUAUUAUAGUCUUGUAGUGUCAUAAUACACCACAGUAUUGACCUUAUUCAAAACUUUUGAAAACUAUUAUACGGAUGAUUUAUUCAACAGUUCAUGAGGAUGUGGCAUAAAGGGAGCCAAACAAUGGCUAAAAAUGAUAACGCUAUCCUCAGCUAAAUGAGGCAGAUCAUGAAUAGAAAGUUGCACUUUUCCCUAUUCGUUUGUUGAUUCGCCAUAAUAUUACAUCAGGAUUAAGACUCAUGACAUCCUGAGGUUGGGUAUCAACAUUAAAAUAUAGUAUAAUGUAGACCAUGGUGAGGUGUAAACUGUGGUAUAAACUUGGUGGUAUAUGAAGGUGCUGGAAUGCACCUCUGAUCAUGUGGAAUUGUCUGACAGCAUGUCUAUCACUAUAUAAUAAAUGAAGAUUUCAGACAGAAUUCAUAAAUCCAAGAUGAUUUAUUUUUAAAAAUAACCAGUUUAUAAAUGAAAUUAAACAUGGGUACAGAUACAAAAUAUGUAAUAGAAUAAGCUGCCAUCUAUAAAGUAAUGUCCUUCACAUUAUUUGGGAGUUAUGAGGGGAAAAUAGACAUAUUAUCAAUGGCUUCAAUCACAUUUUGAUGGUGGUAGCACCUUAUUUUUUUAAAGUGAUAGAUAAACACACUCAUCUCAUUUGUUUACACCUUGCAGAAAGUGCCUUGGGCUAGGACUAGUGUUUAUAGUUGUAUUAACAAAAAAAAAAGCCCAUUAAAGUUAGGAUAGUAAAGUAUUAUUUGAAUGUGCUCUCAACUGAU